rnacentral:rRNA from 1 species
UUUGGCCUCGUUUCGGGUUCGAUUUAGCCUGCUAGUCGCACGGGUUUAGACCCGUGGCGAAAAGCUCAGUAACACGUGGCCAAACUACCCUAUGGAUCGGAAUUACCUCGGGAAACUGAGGUCAAUUCCGUAUACCGCUCCUGCACUGGGAUGUGCGGAGCACAAAACGCUUCGGCGCCAUAGGAUGUGGCUGCGGCCGGUUAGGUUGACGGUGGGGUAACGGCCCACCGUGCCCAUAAUCGGUACGGGUUGUGAGAGCAAGAGCCCGGAGACGGUAUCUGAGACAAGAUACCGGGCCCUACGGGGCGCAGCAGGCGCGAAACCUUUACACUGCACGACAGUGCGAUAAGGGAACUCCGAGUGCGAGGGCAUAGAGCCCUCGCUUUUGUACACCGUAAGGUGGUGCACGAAUAAGGGCUGGGCAAGACCGGUGCCAGCCGCCGCGGUAAUACCGGCAGCCCAAGUGAUGGCCGAUAUUAUUGGGCCUAAAGCGUCCGUAGCUGGCCGGACAAGUCCGUUGGGAAAUCCGCGUGCUUAACGCGCGGGCGUUCAGNGGAAACUGUCCGGCUUGGGGCCCGGAAGACCUGAGGGGUACGUNCGGGGUAGGAAUGAAAUNCCGUAAUCU